AUAAAGUUGUAGGGCACCUCUGCAACCAUGCAAGGAGCUGUAGUUUGAAGAUCGGACUUGCUGUAAGGGAUUUGCAGGUACCCGGAGUGGACGAGACCAGGGAAAUUUAGCAGUUGCUGCGGUGGGGUGUACAGAGAAGAUCGAUGGGUGUAGAGGAAUGAUGUUCCCGGGAAAGCCAAAGAGGUCCCGGACGGUGAUGAUCCCGGUGGGGAAGAAGUCAAAGUGCUCGAAGUACCGGAAAGGUGGCUCCUUGGCCGGGGUCGUAUUCGAAAAUGAUCUGAAAACUGCUCGUUCAGUGUAGGAUUGGCCUGCAAACGGAUCUCCUACCGGAGUAGGAUGAGCAUCGGGCCUCGUGAGGCAUGGGUGAUGCGUCACCGGUAGGUGCUACUGUGAUGGGCCUCUAAUAGUUGUCACGCUGAGGGUGAGUAACCGGGGUGGGUUGGGUGUCCAGAGCAGAUCCAUGCCCUUUUUUAUUUUUAUUUUUUUUUAAUCCCGGAGGAGACAAGGAGGUACCGGAAGGAUAUGUGCAGGUACCGGUGAUGGUCGUCGUGAUACCGGAGGCCUCGACCAAGAAGGGUAGGAAAGGGAGAACUCUCGAUGACCAAGGGUGCGAGCGGGCCCGGCAAUUCGAUAAGUGGGAGCUACCGGUGCCAUGAACUGUUGGUACCGAAGGUUGCAGCCGAGGAGUCUCUGAUGCUGGAGAGAUACUUGAGUUGGUGGAGUGCCGGAACUCAUCUCUAGGUUGGCUUACCGAGAGGUGGAGUCUCAAGGUUGGAUCGAAAGGUUGAAGACAUCUAUACCGCUUCACCGAGGGUGGAGUUGCUCCCAUGAGUUUGGUGGAUAUCAGUUCACAUAAGAAGUGAUUCGACAAACGUUUGGUGACCGGUGAGAGUGCCGGGGCGGGUGGUGCAGGGAGGUUGAGUACCAGCCUUCCUGGUGCCAAGAGCUAGUAGGGGUGGGUUCGCGAAACCGAAAACCGAAAAAAACCGCACCGAAACCCGAACCGCAGCCGAAAAAAACCGCACCGAAAAAAACCGCACCGAACUGGAAAAAACCGCACCGCACCGAAUCUGUUCGGUUCGGUUUUCGGUUUUGCCACUGAAGAAACCGAACCGAACCGAAAAACCGAACCGCAAACCGAACCGCAAACCGCACCGCAAAAACCGCACCGCAACCUCAAAACGUCGUCGUUUUUGAAUAGGGUUUAACUUACCCUAAAGUCCUAAACCUAAUCCUCUCGGUCUCGCACUCUCGCCUAUUCCGCCUAACCCUCGGUCCCUCGCAGUCUCACACUCACACUCUCGCCUAUUCCGCCUAACCUCUCGCUCCGUCGCUCGGUCGCUCCUCAGUCUCGUUAGCGAUCUCUGUCUCCGGCUCGCACUCUCAGUCUCCUCAGGCUCGCACUCUAACCCAGUCAACCCACCCUCUAACUCUCUCAGAUCGGCGACCUCUCUCUCUCAGAUCGGCGACCUCUCUCUCAGAUCGGCGACCUCUCUCUCUCAGACCGACUCGGCGACUAACGACCUGUCUCUCAGACCGACUAACACCCAUCGUUCUCCUCCACAGCAACAAGCGAGCAAGCCACCUCCGGUCCUCCACCUCCGGUCCCCUCAUCCGAUUCUUUACGCCGGAGUGAUCAGUAGCAAACAUUAUGAAGAGGCAAUCAAAAUCUGCUGCUACUAGUUCCGGUGCUAAUCCGAAAUCAACUUCUUCAUCUCAGUUUGUCACAGUUACUUUGGUAGUGCAAAUAUUUCAUAUAUGUUG